UCAAAAGAGAAGGACUUAAACCUUCUUCCCCGGGCCCCAAAACCGGAAUCCUGUCAAUUAAACUAUCCUUUG
rnacentral:tRNA from 1 species